CUACAAAAAGGAAAAUAAGUUAAUGGAAAUAGUGUAUUUUACUUCUUGUUCAGUUAGCUUAGGCUUAUUUCAAAGGAUUCAGGAGACUGAUGAAAGUCCAUUUUUUUUUUUUUUUUUUUAAACUAAGGUCUAUCCUUUAUUCAAAUUUUCUUUUUCUUUUUUUACCCAAUGCACUUUUCAUGUUCUAGAAUCCCAUCCAGAACACAAUGUUAAAUUUAGUCAUUAUAUCUCCUUAGGCUCCUCUUAACUGUGACAGUGUCCCAGUAUUUGCUUGUUUUUCUUUUUUCUGAUGAUCUUGAGAGUUUUGAGGGCUGCUGGUCAGGUGUUUUGUAGAACAUCUCUCACUCAGGAUUUGUUUCUAGUUUUUCUUAGGCUUAGAAUGGAGCUAGGAUUUUUGGGAAAGAAGAUUCCAGAGGUGAAGUACCACUCUCAACACAUCGUCUCUCUGAGCCCCUUCUCCAGGACACACGGAAAAUAUCUUCAGGAGAUGGACUGAAAAGGAAAAGACUUUUGUAGUGAGCAUCUGAACCACAGCAGAUUUGUGGGUAUUAUUGGCUUUUUCAGACAUCAAAAGCAAACUGUGUGAAAGAUGAUGGAGGUGCUCAAACUGGAAUGGGGAAUGAAAACGAGCAAAUAGAAGAUCAUGCUCAAUAAAAACACAAAAUGAUAAUCAGAAUAAAUGAGACUAUCAGCGACAAGUAGAAGAAAAUCAACUAGGAACAUCUGUUCAGGGGGAAGCAACUGAAGGGAAAGACAAACAUACAUUAUAAUUCAUUGACCCUGGGGAUUUGGAGUGAUAAGAGUGAGAAGCCACUUGGAUGAGGUUAGUAGUGCUCAUGUUUCUCUCAGAAACAAAAACACAGGGCUUUUCUGUUGCUCUGCUUACCCACUGAGAAUACCUGGAUCUGAAAUCUGGGUGGUGCAAGCAUGGGAGCAGUGGGGAUGAGCAGGAGUAAAGAGGAGGGAAAGUAAGGACAGCCUGGGCGUCUUUUUUCUUUUGUUUUCUUACCCUGUGUCAGCUGCCUCCUGUCUCAGGGCAGAUGCUAGUAGUCCACACACACAAGUUCAAUGCUCCCUUUCCUGGCAAUGAUCCAGUGGUUUUCUUAGUAUCUUGAUUUUUAAAAAGUGGAUUAGGAGGACUCAGAAUUUGUGCUACUUCAGUAUUUUCAUCUAGUAAGAUAUUAAUUAACUCAUUUAUUGGUUAUUUCUUCAACU
rnacentral:lncRNA from 1 species